rnacentral:lncRNA from 1 species
GGUUAAUGGAUCAUCUAGUAGGGUUGCCAUACUAGAGCAAAAAAGAGGACACAUUUGCAGACUUCUUCUUUUAAAUAGUACUUUUUCUUAUCCAUUCUUAAGGAAAUCAGCCCUGAGUGCUCGCUGGAAGGACAGAUCGUGAAGCUGAAACUCCAAUACUUUGGCCACCUCAUGAGAAGAGAAGACUCCCUGGAAAAGACCCUGGUGUUGGGAAAGAUGGAGGGCACAAGGAGAAGGAGACGACAGAGGACGAGAUGGUUGGACAGUGUUCUCCAAGCUACAAACAUGAGUCUGACCAAACUGCGGGAGGCAGUGGAAGACAGAAGUGCCUGGCGUGCUCUGGUCCAUGGGGUCACGAAGAGUUGGACACGACUAAAUGACUAAACAACAACAACUUUUAAGUAUGGAUCGCUAGGACCACUCUACCCAUGAGAAAGAGGAUGUGUCCUGGAAAAAGAGGACAUAUGCAGCCUGGUGUUGUCUACCAAACAGUUCUCCAGGGUCUCUGGCAGAGGUCUUUAACAUCACCUCCUACUUGGCCACACAGCUGGAGUUCCUGGGGACUGAAUGUGGGAACUUUUGCAUUCAAAGUACAUGCCCUACCAUUCAGCUAUGUCCUGUUCCCAUUCACAACUCAAAUAAAGCCUUGAAGCAUGUGGUGGUAGUGAUCCUAAUACUAAUGCAAGGUCUAUCAAUACAUGGCCUGAUAAAGUACAUUUCCCAUUUUUUGUGACUUCCAUUGUAUUACUACAUGAAAUGCAGAAAGACACAUUCACAUUACAUGGCCAACAAGAAAAAGAGCACACACAGCUGCUGGUGCCAUCUGUGUAGACCAGCUUCUAGCCAAAAUAAUAUUUCCCUAAGAGUUUCCAGUUGUUGGUAAUAGGAGGUAAUAUGGAUAUGACUCUGUAUCAGGAAGUAGAACACGAGAGUAGUAGCCUUGGCUCCAUUACAUGGUUUGUUAUUGACAAAAAUUAUAAUGAGUCAGUAGAUAUGGCUUAUAUAUUCUUGGUUUCUGUUUGUAACGUUUCCCCUCAUAAAACCUGGCUGGAUAGCAAGUCCAAAAUGAAGCGACUCUCUGCCAGAGACAUCCAGCCAUAUGUGCCUCUGCUGAGCCAUCUGUAGACCAUUCCAUAUGGCAGUUGUUUUAGUUUCACCAGAUUUUGGACUCAAGUUCCAUAAGAAGCACAAGUUUUUUAAAAAAAAAAUCGGGGGGGGGGGAAGAAUCAUCACCCAUUUUUCUCCCAUAUGAUGAUAAGCUGUUAUUACUGCUGGAGCAGAUGCUUCCAGCGACAGACCAGUCAUAACCUGGAGAGCAUCAAGAGCCAAUGAAAAUUAUGAUCCAACCCAAUCUGAGGCUAUAGAAUCAAAUCAAAAGAUUGCUUUCCUACACAGAAUUCCAUAUGUAUACUGUAAUGUAAGCCUGUGUAGCUUGAGGACCACCAAGCUGAACACAACUGAAUGGUCAUGUAUGUAAUUACAUCAUAGGUAAUAAUAAUAAAAAUAAAUGCUGUCAUUGAAAUACUAGCUGCCCAGGUUGCUGAAAUAAAGGAAAUUAUCCUACCAAAGACUCCACCAUUUGUCACUUUUUCUCAGUGUCACGACAGAAGUGUGAUAUAAAUCAGGCUGUAAGAUAUCUAUCAAUUAGGAAUGGGCCAAGCAGCUAAUUGCAUUCAGUUUUGGUGUUGCAGACUCUUGAUUAUAGGUCCAGUCCACCCUGUUCCAUCCCACUGUACACAUUAUAUGUGCAUCUUUAAUGCAAAAUACACACUUUUCAAUAUUUUUCAGUGCAUUUGCCAGUAAAAUGCACAUUUUGCAAACAUCUUUUUGUAAAAAAAAAUAAAUGUAUUUUUGUGUGCAUUUUUUUCACCACCCCACUCCUGAAAAAGCAUUCCCAAUUGGGAGUGCAUAAUUCAAUUGGAAGAUGCCUUCUGAGCUACAAACAAGUUGGG